CGGGACAUAAAUGCAGAAGUGCUAAUAAACAGGAGCCAGUCCUUCACCCGUAAUCUGCACUGGCCCUUCACCCGUAAUCUGCACCAACCCUUCACCUGUAAUCUGCAACGGCCCUUCACCCGUAAUCUGCACUGGCCCUUCACCCGUAAUCUGCACCAACUCUUCACCUAUAAUCUGCAACGGCCCUUCACCAGUAAUCUGCACUGGCCCUUCACCCGUAAUCUGCACCAACCCUUCACCUGUAAUCUGCAACGGCCCUUCACCCAUAAUCUGCACCAACCCUUCACCCAUAAUCUGCACCGGUCCUUUAUCCGUAAUCUGCACCAGCGCUUCACUCAUAAUGUGCACAAACCCUUCACCCGUAAUCUGCACCAGCCCUUCACCCGUAAUAUGCACUGGCCCUUUACCCGCAAUCUGCACCAGCGCUUCACCCGUAAUCUGCACCGGCCCUUCACCCGUAAUCUGCACCAGCCCUUCACCCGUAAUCUGCACCGGCGCUUCACCAGUAAUCUGCACCAACCCUUCACACGUAAUCUGCACCAGCCCUUCAGCCGUAAUCUGCACCAGUCCUUCACGCAUAAUCUGCAGCAGCGCUUCACCCGUAAUCUGCAUCGGCCCUUCAACCGUAAUCUGUACCAGCGCUUCACCCGUAAUCUGCACCAGCGCUUCACCCGUAAUCUGCAUCGGCCCUUCAACCGUAAUCUGCACCAGCGCUUCACCAGUAAUCUACACCAGCCCUUCACCCGUAAUAUGCACCAAACCUUCACCCGUAAUCUGCACCAGUCCUUCACCCGUAAUCUGCACCGGCGCUUCACCCAUAAUGUGCACCAACCCUUCACCCAUAAUCUGCACCAGCCCUUCACCCGUAAUCUGCACUGGCCCUUUACCUGUAAUCUACAUCAGCACUUCACCCGUAAUCUGCACCAACCCUUCACCUGUAAUCUGCACCAGACCUUCACCCGUAAUCUACACCAGCCCUUCACCCGUAAUCUGCAUCAACGCUUCACCCGUAAUGGCGCGUGUACGCUCCCUAACUCUUCCUGC
rnacentral:lncRNA from 1 species